GCCGGAAUAGCUCAGUUGGUAGAGCAGGGGACUGAAAAUCC
rnacentral:tRNA from 1 species